AUAUAUAUAUAUAUAUACGACCCUGUGUUAUUGUUAGAUGACGUUAGAUAUAAUGCCACAGGGUCGUAUAUAUAUAUAUAUAUAUA
rnacentral:pre_miRNA from 13 species